ACGGAGGAUCCAAGCGUUAUCCGGAUUUAUUGGGUUUAAAGGGUCCGUAGGCGGGAUAUUAAGUCAGUGGUGAAAGCCUUCAGCUUAACUGGAGAAUUGCCAUUGAUACUGAUAUCCUUGAGUACACCUGAAGUGGGCGGAAUGUGUCAUGUAGCGGUGAAAUGCAUAGAUAUGACACAGAACACCGAUUGCGAAGGCAGCUCACUAAAGUGUAACUGACGCUGAGGGACGAAAGCGUGGGGAGCGAACAGG
rnacentral:rRNA from 1 species